AACACUCUUUUGGGUAAAUUUAAUUUGAAAAGAACAUUUUAAAGGAGCCCAAAACAUAAUCACAGAGUGAAACAGGGAGGAGGGUGCUGUCUCCAGGAGCUCAGGGUGCCAGCACCUCUGAACCCUCAGAGAGACAACAGAGCAACAUGCGGGGCCCACGGGGCAGCCGCUGCCAGGAAGCCGGGCACCAGGAGGGCUCAAGGCGGGAACAGUGAGGAGGAGCAGGCAGGCGCGCGGAGUUCGGAGAAAAUGUUUUAGGAGCUCAAAACCGGCAAACCUUUCCACUGAAUCUGUAGAGCACAGCCCCUGGGCCAUCACUCGCUCCCGGCCACCCGCACACUUUGAGAAGCAAAACGUAAAGAGAAAACUGUGAACUGUGGAGUCAGGCCCGUGUCUGAAUUCCAGAAAUGCCACUUUUAUCUCCUCUGCGAAGUGGGAAGAACUCUUGAUAUUAAAUGGAACAAGCGGUGCAGAAAGAAGUGUCUGGCAUGGUAUCCAGCAGAGUCAGUGAUCAAAUCCCCCCGGCUGUUCCGGAAGGGCACCUUCUCCGGCUCAGUGAAGGUGGCCACGGCGCACGCCUGGCAGCGGCCUCCCAGCUGCAGCCGCUGUCUGACCAGCAGUGAGCUCUAUGUGGA